rnacentral:rRNA from 1 species
UACGAAGGGGGCUAGCGUUGCUCGGAAUUACUGGGCGUAAAGCGCGCGUAGGCGGAUUGUUAAGUCGGGGGUGAAAUCCUGGAGCUCAACUCCAGAACUGCCUUCGAUACUGGCGAUCUCGAGUUCGGGAGAGGUGAGUGGAACUGCGAGUGUAGAGGUGAAAUUCGUAGAUAUUCGCAAGAACACCAGUGGCGAAGGCGGCUCACUGGCCCGAUACUGACGCUGAGGUGCGAAAGCGUGGGGAGCAAACAGG